UUAUGGCUAUUGCACCUAGCUUUGCAGGACAAAUGCAGUCUUGAGGAGCUAGAAGAACGUCCAACCUUUAUCAAUUGAUGGCUACCAACUUUUCAGAAGGGACAGGCAAGGAAAGAGAGGAGGUGGGGUGGCCCUUUAUGUUAAGAACAGUAUUAUAUGCCUAGAACUCAGCAAUAUGCAUGAGACAGUGUCGAGUGCCUAUGGAUAAGGAUCAAGGGGAAGACCAGUAAGGCAGACAUUGUGGUGGGAGUUUGUUAUAGACCCCCAAACCAGGAUAUAAAGACUGAUGAAGUAUUCUAUAGGCAGCUGACAGAAGCCUCACGAUCACUCUCCCUUGUACUCAUGGGGGACUUCAACUUCCCUGAUAUCUGCUGGCAAUAUAACACAGCAGAGAGGCAACAGUCCUGGAGAUUCUUGGAAUGCGUGGAAGACAACUUCCUAACGCAGCUGGUGAGGGAACCGACCAGGGAAAGUGCCCUACUGGACCUGCUGAUAGUUAACUCAGAAGGUCUUGUGGGGGAUGUAAACGUUGGAGGCCGUCUUGGACAGAGUGAUCACGAAAUGAUAAAAUUUUCGAUUCUUGCUGAAGCAAGGCGGGGGGCCAGCAGGACCGCCACCCUGGACUUCCGAAGGGCAGACUUUGGCCUCUUCAGGAGCAUGGUUGAAAGUGUCCCUUGGGAGAUGGUCCUUGAGGGCAAGGGUGCCCAGGAAAGCUGGUCAUACUUCAAGGAGGCACUCUUAAAGGCGCAAGAUAAAGCCAUUCCCAAGUCCCAAAAAUCAAGCAGGAAGGGAAGAAGACCAGCCUGGCUAAAUAGAGAGCUUUGGCUGGAACUCAGGAACAAAAAGAAGGCUUAUAAUCUUUGGAAAAAGGGCCUGGCAGACAAGGAGAAAUACCAGGAAGCGGUGAGGAUAUGCAGGGGGAAAAUCAGAAGGGCCAAGGCUCAAGUGGAGCUCAUCUUGGCCACCAAAGUUAACAAUAACAAAAAGGGUUUUUUUCAGUAUGUUAACAGUAAGAGAAAGAUUAGGGAUAAUGUGGGCCCACUGAUGGAUGAGGUGGGCACCCUAGUAGUGGAAGACACGGAGAAAGCAGAGUUGCUGAAUGCCUUCUUUUCUUCAGUCUUCACUUUUAGGACUGCCCC
rnacentral:lncRNA from 1 species